AGCAGCUUCACUCCUGAUAACCCAGUUGUGAGCUGUCCUUUGCAGAGCCUGCCCAGGGUAAGGUGUCCUUGUGUCUUACUGCACUUCCAGCAAUGAAGAAAGCAGGCGCUUCUGUGCAUUCAUUGCACCACACACAAGUCUUAGAGCAACUAAAAUUCCAAAGUGCUUACUACACUCUUCAUCCAUGGCCUCUGGUUCAGUUCCUGCCUCCGGGUUCCUGCCCUGACUUCUUUGGAUGAUGGACUACAGGCCGUAAGCUGAAAUAAACCCUUUCCUUCCAAAA